GAUGAACGCUGGCGGCGUGCCUAAUACAUGCAAGUCGGACGCACAGCGAAAGGUGCUUGCACCUUUCAAGCGAGUGGCGAACGGGUGAGUAACACGUGGAUAACCUGCCUCAAGGCUGGGGAUAACAUUUGGAAACAGAUGCUAAUACCGAAUAAAACUUAGUAUCGCAUGAUACAAAGUUGAAAGGAGCUACGGCGUCACCUAGAGAUGGGGUCGCGGUGCAUUAGUUAGUUGGUGGGGUAAAGGCCCACCAAGACAAUGAUGCAUAGCCGAGUUGAGAGACUGAUCGGCCACAUUGGGACUGAGACACGGACCAAACUCCUACGGGAGGCUGCAGUAGGGAAUCUUCCACAAUGGGCGAAAGCCUGAUGGAGCAACGCCGCGUGUGUGAUGAAGGCUUUAGGGUCGUAAAGCACUGUUGUAUGGGAAGAAAUGUUAGAAUAGGGAAUGAUUCUAGUUCGACGGUACCAUACCAGAAAGGGACGGCUAAAUACGUGCCAGCAGCCGCCGUAA
rnacentral:rRNA from 1 species